UCAUCUCCCUCCCUUCCAUCCCUUUCUCCACCAUCUCCUUACUUUGUUCUUCAUCACCAUCACCACUAUCUUCCCAUAAAAACCAUCACUGUCUUUAAAUAUACCUUUAAUUUCCCUUCCAUUUGUUCUCACUAACAAAAUAAAAUCAAACCAAUAUACCCAUUCUUCACACACAUUUCAAAAUUCAAUAACCAUUCUUCUCCACCUCUCCCUUCUAUGCAAUUUUCUCUUUUUCAGAACACCCAUUUUCUUCUCUUCUCUCUUUUUCAGAAACCACCACCGCCAACACCACGAUCCACCACCGGAUUCAGAUUUGAAUGGGUUUGAAUCGGACCCAAUCAACAACAACACACAAAAACACUCAUUUUCGGAUCCAAAAACAACAACAACAACACACAAACAACCCAUUUUCGGAUCGAAUCAAAUAAGAAGGGAAUAGAAGAGAAGGAUGAAGAAAAAAAAGGGUUAGAAUUUUCGGGCCCUUUUGUUUUUAUUGGUUUUUUUGGGACUCAUUUUCGUCUGUUGUUGAUGUUGACAUUGUGUUGUUGUUGAAGAUGAGUUGAUAAUUUGGGAAGAAGAAGCUGGAGAAUAAGAAGUUUCUAAGAAGGUUAUUGUUUGUGAUUUGGAGAAGAAGGAGAAUUUUGUAAGAAGGGUGGAAAAGGAGUGAGUAAGAGAAGGAUGAAGAGAAGAAGAAGGAGGGAGUAAGAGAAGAGAACGGUGGAGAGAGAGGAGAGAAAAGAAGAUGAAUUAUUAUUAUUAUUAUUU
rnacentral:lncRNA from 1 species